rnacentral:tRNA from 1 species
UGGGACUGUAGCUCAGUGGUAGAGCACUUGCCAACCACAUGCAAAGCCCUGGGUUCAAUCCCCAGCACACAA